GUUGAAAACUUCCCCGGUGCAGCAGCGGGUGGCGGUGGUCGGCUCCUCCGGUGUCUGGUUCUUCUUCUCCAGCGAGGCACUAGCGGCUAGGGUUUUGUGGUCAGGUGUGGGUGGGGUUAUUUAUACCCUUUGCCUUUUAAUCUCAACCGUCCAUCAAGAUUAAAUCUGGACCGUCCGACGCGAUUUAAUUGAGAUUAAAUCUGGGCCGUCCAUCGCGAUGCAAUGUGGACCGUCCGUACACGUGAAUCUGGGCCGUCCGU
rnacentral:lncRNA from 1 species